rnacentral:rRNA from 1 species
AAUGGGUCAGCGACUUAUAUUCUGUAGCAAGGUUAACCGAAUAGGGGAGCCGAAGGGAAACCGAGUCUUAACUGGGCGUUAAGUUGCAGGGUAUAGACCCGAAACCCGGUGAUCUAGCCAUGGGCAGGUUGAAGGUUGGGUAACACUAACUGGAGGACCGAACCGACUAAUGUUGAAAAAUUAGCGGAUGACUUGUGGCUGGGGGUGAAAGGCCAAUCAAACCGGGAGAUAGCUGGUUCUCCCCGAAAGCUAUUUAGGUAGCGCCUCGUGAAUUCAUCUCCGGGGGUAGAGCACUGUUUCGGCAAGGGGGUCAUCCCGACUUACCAACCCGAUGCAAACUGCGAAUACCGGAGAAUGUUAUCACGGGAGACACACGGCGGGUGCUAACGUCCGUCGUGAAGAGGGAAACAACCCAGACCGCCAGCUAAGGUCCCAAAGUCAUGGUUAAGUGGGAAACGAUGUGGGAAGGCCCAGACAGCCAGGAUGUUGGCUUAGAAGCAGCCAUCAUUUAAAGAAAGCGUAAUAGCUCACUGGUCGAGUCGGCCUGCGCGGAAGAUGUAACGGGGCUAAACCAUGCACCGAAGCUGCGGCAGCGACGCUUAUGCGUUGUUGGGUAGGGGAGCGUUCUGUAAGCCUGUGAAGGUGUGCUGUGAGGCAUGCUGGAGGUAUCAGAAGUGCGAAUGCUGACAUAAGUAACGAUAAAGCGGGUGAAAAGCCCGCUCGCCGGAAGACCAAGGGUUCCUGUCCAACGUUAAUCGGGGCAGGGUGAGUCGACCCCUAAGGCGAGGCCGAAAGGCGUAGUCGAUGGGAAACAGGUUAAUAUUCCUGUACUUGGUGUUACUGCGAAGGGGGGACGGAGAAGGCUAUGUUGGCCGGGCGACGGUUGUCCCGGUUUAAGCGUGUAGGCUGGUUUUCCAGGCAAA